AGGGCGCACGGUGGAUGCCUUGGCACUAGAAGCCGAUGAAGGACGUUACUAACGACGAUAUGCUUUGGGGAGCUGUAAGUAAGCUUUGAUCCAGAGAUUUCCGAAUGGGGAAACCCAGCAUGAGUUAUGUCAUGUUAUCGAUAUGUGAAUACAUAGCAUAUCAGAAGGCACACCCGGAGAACUGAAACAUCUUAGUACCCGGAGGAAGAGAAAGAAAAUUCGAUUCCCUUAGUAGCGGCGAGCGAAACGGGAAGAGCCCAAACCAACAAGCUUGCUUGUUGGGGUUGUAGGACACUCUAUACGGAGUUACAAAGGACGACAUUAGACGAAUCAUCUGGAAAGAUGAAUCAAAGAAGGUAAUAAUCCUGUAGUCGAAAAUGUUGUCUCUCUUGAGUGGAUCCUGAGUACGACGGAGCACGUGAAAUUCCGUCGGAAUCUGGGAGGACCAUCUCCUAAGGCUAAAUACUCUCUAGUGACCGAUAGUGAACCAGUACCGUGAGGGAAAGGUGAAAAGCACCCCGGAAGGGGAGUGAAAUAGAACCUGAAACCGUGUGCUUACAAGUAGUCAGAGCCCGUUAAUGGGUGAUGGCGUGCCUUUUGUAGAAUGAACCGGCGAGUUACGAUUUGAUGCAAGGUUAAGCAGUAAAUGUGGAGCCGUAGCGAAAGCGAGUCUGAAUAGGGCGUUUAGUAUUUGGUCGUAGACCCGAAACCAGGUGAUCUACCCUUGGUCAGGUUGAAGUUCAGGUAACACUGAAUGGAGGACCGAACCGACUUACGUUGAAAAGUGAGCGGAUGAACUGAGGGUAGCGGAGAAAUUCCAAUCGAACCUGGAGAUAGCUGGUUCUCUCCGAAAUAGCUUUAGGGCUAGCCUCAAGUGAUGAUUAUUGGAGGUAGAGCACUGUUUGGACGAGGGGCCCCUCUCGGGUUACCGAAUUCAGACAAACUCCGAAUGCCAAUUAAUUUAACUUGGGAGUCAGAACAUGGGUGAUAAGGUCCGUGUUCGAAAGGGAAACAGCCCAGACCACCAGCUAAGGUCCCAAAAUAUAUGUUAAGUGGAAAAGGAUGUGGCGUUGCCCAGACAACUAGGAUGUUGGCUUAGAAGCAGCCAUCAUUUAAAGAGUGCGUAAUAGCUCACUAGUCGAGUGACACUGCGCCGAAAAUGUACCGGGGCUAAACAUAUUACCGAAGCUGUGGAUUGUCCUUUGGACAAUGGUAGGAGAGCGUUCUAAGGGCGUUGAAGCAUGAUCGUAAGGACAUGUGGAGCGCUUAGAAGUGAGAAUGCCGGUGUGAGUAGCGAAAGACGGGUGAGAAUCCCGUCCACCGAUUGACUAAGGUUUCCAGAGGAAGGCUCGUCCGCUCUGGGUUAGUCGGGUCCUAAGCUGAGGCCGACAGGCGUAGGCGAUGGAUAACAGGUUGAUAUUCCUGUACCACCUAUAAUCGUUUUAAUCGAUGGGGGGACGCAGUAGGAUAGGCGAAGCGUGCGAUUGGAUUGCACGUCUAAGCAGUAAGGCUGAGUAUUAGGCAAAUCCGGUACUCGUUAAGGCUGAGCUGUGAUGGGGAGAAGACAUUGUGUCUUCGAGUCGUUGAUUUCACACUGCCGAGAAAAGCCUCUAGAUAGAAAAUAGGUGCCCGUACCGCAAACCGACACAGGUAGUCAAGAUGAGAAUUCUAAGGUGAGCGAGCGAACUCUCGUUAAGGAACUCGGCAAAAUGACCCCGUAACUUCGGGAGAAGGGGUGCUCUUUAGGGUUAACGCCCAGAAGAGCCGCAGUGAAUAGGCCCAAGCGACUGUUUAUCAAAAACACAGGUCUCUGCUAAACCGUAAGGUGAUGUAUAGGGGCUGACGCCUGCCCGGUGCUGGAAGGUUAAGAGGAGUGGUUAGCUUCUGCGAAGCUACGAAUCGAAGCCCCAGUAAACGGCGGCCGUAACUAUAACGGUCCUAAGGUAGCGAAAUUCCUUGUCGGGUAAGUUCCGACCCGCACGAAAGGCGUAACGAUUUGGGCACUGUCUCAACGAGAGACUCGGUGAAAUCAUAGUACCUGUGAAGAUGCAGGUUACCCGCGACAGGACGGAAAGACCCCGUGGAGCUUUACUGUAGCCUGAUAUUGAAAUUCGGCACAGCUUGUACAGGAUAGGUAGGAGCCUUUGAAACGUGAGCGCUAGCUUACGUGGAGGCGCUGGUGGGAUACUACCCUAGCUGUGUUGGCUUUCUAACCCGCACCACUUAUCGUGGUGGGAGACAGUGUCAGGCGGGCAGUUUGACUGGGGCGGUCGCCUCCUAAAAGGUAACGGAGGCGCUCAAAGGUUCCCUCAGAAUGG
rnacentral:rRNA from 1 species